UUGGUGAUGCAUGCGCUGCAUGCAGAGCGCAUAUAUAGAGAGAGAGAUAGCGAGCUAAGGUUAGAGAGUUUGAGGUGUGUGGAGAUAUUAGUUGGGUUGUUUUGCCAAAGCUUGGAUUAUCGAGGUGAGUGGUUUAUGUAAUGUGUUUUAAAAUAUUCUUAUUUUCGAUAAAUGAAAACCACGAACUAUUGUGGGUUUUAUCUAUUUAUAAAUUUGUAUCUUUUUCAAGUCAAGCAUGUUGGAUUUGUUGAAAUGUUUCGGAGUUAUUAUGUAUCGUGAUAUGUGGAUUAUUUGGAAAUGUUCAUGGAGCAUGAGAACUUUGGUGUUGCAUUAAUCCGAGGGAUAAAUGUAAACUGCACACGGGGACAUUAGGGCAGAUGGCCAAUAGGGGUCACGUGGUGAGUUACAAUUUAUAAAGGAUAUAAUGAACACGUGAAGGGAUGAUGUGAUAUGGCAUUAUGUGUAUAAUGAUUGGAUAUUAUUAUCCUAUUUUAUAGUAUGAUUAAAAUGGCAAGCUUGGCUGGCAUAUUAUAUAUUCUACUCACUGAGCGACGGUGGUUGUUGCUCACUCCUCCCCUAUUAUUUUACAGAUGAGUUAUUUGGCAAGACAGGUGUUAGAAGAGCUGAGGUUGUGAUUGAGGAGAAGUUUAAGGAUUUUAAUUUAUUACUUUUGUACACCCUGUAAGGAUUACGGAGUUAUUUUAAUAAGAUGAUUUCAUUUUUCAACCCGUGUCAAUUCUCUUUUAUUUAUUUUUACUUUUACUCGCGUUUCGAACGCGGGGUCUUAUUUUACUACCUGACCUCAG
rnacentral:lncRNA from 1 species